GCUCUCUACUUGGAUCGUCCGGCACGUACCUGUCGGUGGAGGUUAAAAA
rnacentral:ncRNA from 1 species